rnacentral:rRNA from 1 species
CCUACGGGAGGCAGCAGCUAAGAAUAUUGGGCAAUGGCGGCAACUCUGAUGCAGCCAUGCCGCGUGUGUGAAGAAGGCCUUUGGGUUGUAAAGCACUUUAAGCGAGGAGGAGGCUUCCUUGGUUAAUACGCAUGCUGAAUGGACGUUACUCGCAGAAUAAGCACCGGCUAACUCCGUGCCAGCCGCCGCGGUAAU